rnacentral:rRNA from 1 species
AAAACAUGUCCUUUAGGAUUAAAUUUAAGGUCUGACCUGCCCACUGAAAAAUUGAAUGGCCGCAGUAUUCUAACUGUGCAAAGGUAGCAUAAUCAUUAGUCUUUUAAUUGAAGGCUUGUAUGAAUGGUUGGACAAGAUAUAUAUUGUUUCACAUAGAUUUAUAGAAUUUUAUUUUUUAGUUAAAAAGCUAAAAUUCCAUUAAAAGACGAGAAGACCCUAUAGAUCUUUAUAAUUAUUAAAUUUUAUUUAUUAAGAAUAUAUUAUAUUUAAUUUAGAUAAUUAUUUUAUUGGGGUGAUAGUAAGAUUAAUUUAACUCUUAUUUUAGUAUAUACAUAAGUUAAUGGUUAAUUGAUCCAGUAUUAUUGAUUAUAAAAAUAAGUUACCUUAGGGAUAACAGCGUAAUUUUUUUAGAGAGUUCAUAUCGAUAAAAAAGAUUGCGACCUCGAUGUUGGAUUAAGAGAUAAAUUUGGGCGUAGCCGUUCAAAUUUAAAGUCUGUUCGACUUUUUAAUUCUUACAUGAUCUGAGUUCAAACCGGA